UGCCUACGGGGCGCAGCAGUGGGGAAUAUUGGGCAAUGGGCGCAAGCCUUACCCAGCAAUACCGCGUGAGUGAAGAAGGUCUACGGAUUGUAAAGCUCUUUGAUCAGGGACGAACAGAUGACGGUACCUGAAGAACAAGCCCCGGCUAACUACGUGCCAGCAGCCGCGGUAAUACGUAGGGGGCAAGCGUUAUCCGGAAUUACUGGGUGUAAAGGGAGCGUAGACGGUGAUGCAAGUCUGGAGUGAAAGGCGGGGGCCCAACCCCCGGACUGCUCUGGAAACUGUAUGACUUGAGUGCAGGAGAG
rnacentral:rRNA from 1 species